rnacentral:rRNA from 1 species
CCAUGCAUGUCUCAGUACAAGCCACAUUAAGGUGAAACCGCGAAAGGCUCAUUAAAUCAGUUAUGGUUCCUUAGAUCGUACCCACAUUUACUUGGAUAACUGUGGUAAUUCUAGAGCUAAUACAUGCAAACAGAGUUCCGACCGGAGACGGGAGGAAUGCUUUUAUUAGAUCAAAACCAAUCGGCGGCGGGCCUCCGGGUCCGUUCGCCGCUCAACUUGGUGACUCUGAAUAACUUUCGGCUGAUCGCACGGUCUCGCACCGGCGACGCAUCUUUCAAAUGUCUGCCUUAUCAACUGUCGAUGGUAGGUUCUGCGCCUACCAUGGUCGUAACGGGUAACGGGGAAUCAGGGUUCGAUUCCGGAGAGGGAGCCUGAGAAACGGCUACCACAUCCAAGGAAGGCAGCAGGCGCGCAAAUUACCCACUCCCGGCACGGGGAGGUAGUGACGAAAAAUAACGAUACGGGACUCAUCCGAGGCCCCGUAAUCGGAAUGAGUACACUUUAAAUCCUUUAACGAGGAUCAAUUGGAGGGCAAGUCUGGUGCCAGCAGCCGCGGUAAUUCCAGCUCCAAUAGCGUAUAUUAAAGU